rnacentral:rRNA from 1 species
GACGAACGCUGGCGGCGUGCCUAAUACAUGCAAGUUGAGCGCUGAAGGUUGGUACUUGUACCAACUGGAUGAGCAGCGAACGGGUGAGUAACGCGUGGGGAAUCUGCCUUUGAGCGGGGGACAACAUUUGGAAACGAAUGCUAAUACCGCAUAAAAACUUUAAACACAAGUUUUAAGUUUGAAAGAUGCAAUUGCAUCACUCAAAGAUGAUCCCGCGUUGUAUUAGCUAGUUGGUGAGGUAAAGGCUCACCAAGGCGAUGAUACAUAGCCGACCUGAGAGGGUGAUCGGCCACAUCGGGACUGAGACACGGCCCAAACUCCUACGGGAGGCAGCAGUAGGGAAUCUUCGGCAAUGGACGAAAGUCUGACCGAGCAACGCCGCGUGAGUGAAGAAGGUUGUCGGAUCGUAAAACUCUGUUGGUAGAGAAGAACGUUGGUGAGAGUGGAAAGCUCAUCAAGUGACGGUAACUACCCAGAAAGGGACGGCUAACUACGUG